UACAGAGGGUGCGAGCGUUAAUCGGAAUUACUGGGCGUAAAGCGUGCGUAGACGGUUAUUUAAGUCGGAUGUGAAAGCCCCGGGCUCAACCUGGGAAUUGCAUUCGAGACUGAAUAGCUAGGGUGCGGUAGAGGGAAGCGGAAUUUCCGGUGUAGCGGUGAAAUGCGUAGAUAUCGGAAGGAACAUCAGUGGCGAAAGCGGCUUCCUGGACAGAAACUGACGCUGAGGCGCGAAAGCUAGGGGAGCAAACAGG
rnacentral:rRNA from 1 species